AGCAGCCGCGGUAAUUCCAGCUCCAAUAGCGUAUAUUAAAGUUGUUGCAGUUAAAAGCUCGUAGUUGAAUUUCGGGAUCAAUAUGUUGGUCGUGCCUCGGUACGUACUAGCUUAUUGGUUUCUCCUUUCUGAAGAACCAUGAUGUCAUUUAUUUGGUGUCGUGGGGAAUCAGGACUGUUACUUUGAAAAAUUAGAGUGUUUAAAGCAGGCUCGCGCUUGAAUACAUUAGCAUGGAAUAAUGAAAUAGGACGUUUGAUUCUAUUUUGUUGGUUCUAGGAUCGACGUAAUGAUUAAUAGGGAUAGUUGGGGCAUUAGUAUUCAAUUGUCAGAGGUUGAAAUUCUUGGGAUUUUAUUGAAGACUAACUACUGCGAAAGCAUUUUGCC
rnacentral:rRNA from 1 species